GGUUGUGUAGUGUAGUGGUUAUCACUUUGGAUUUUGAUUGCUCUCACCAGUCUUUCCAAUAACCCCGGUUCGAACCCGGGCACGACCU